rnacentral:rRNA from 1 species
UACGAAGGGAGCUAGCGUUGUUCGGAAUCACUGGGCGUAAAGCGCACGUAGGCGGAUUUGCCAGUCAGGGGUGAAAUCCCGGGGCUCAACCUCGGAACUGCCUUUGAUACAGCAAGUCUUGAGUUCGAGAGAGGUGGGUGGAAUUCCUAGUGUAGAGGUGAAAUUCGUAGAUAUUGGGAAGAACACCGGUGGCGAAGGCGGCUCACUGGCUCAUUACUGACGCUCAGGCGCGAUAGCGUGGGGAUCAAACAGG